UUCACUUCAUCACUUAGCACAAAACAAGAAAAUAGAGAGUUCCCAACCCCCACUGUUUUCGGCCCAACCUUAGGAAAACCAAAUCAAAUUCUAGCUUCCCAAAAAUUAUUUCCUUGGUGUUAACCCACUAUAUUGAGGUCCCUAAGUAGCGUGGAAGAGUUGUUCGGGUCAUCCAACCAUUAGUUGUACCCAUUUGCAAACCCUAACUAUUUGGUGGAUUGAAGAAGAAAGAUCGUGGGCAGCCCGAAUCAUAGUUUGGACUUAGCUUGAGUUGGAUCAUAUUGGAGAGCGUUUGAGGUACGGACGCACAGCCUGGUGAUCCACCUGUUUAGGACACCCUUUCUGCUAUUCGGAGUGCUCCUCUCUUUCCGGAGCUUAUACUUUUGGUAUAUAUAUUUUUAUUAGUGCAUUUGUAUAUAUUCGUUCAUGGG